rnacentral:rRNA from 1 species
AAAGCGUGCGCAGGCGGUUAUGUAAGAUAGAUGUGAAAUCCCCGGGCUCAACCUGGGAACUGCAUUAGUGACUGCAUAGCUGGAGUACGGCAGAGGGGGAUGGAAUUCCGCGUGUAGCAGUGAAAUGCGUAGAUAUGCGGAGGAACACCGAUGGCGAAGGCAAUCCCCUGGGCCUGUACUGACGCUCAUGCACGAAAGCGUGGGGAGCAAACAGGAUUAGAUACCCCUGU